rnacentral:lncRNA from 1 species
UCUUGCAGGAUUUUCCCUUGAAGGCUGGUAUUCUUGGAGAGCCAGCGCCUGUCUCCCGACAGGGCUUUGGAGCCAGGAGCCGUGGCCCAGGGCUCUGUGCCGGGCAGUCUCAUGGACACUGGGUUCACCACCGCAAGGAAGCCCGGAGAGCAUCAUUCCAGGGAAACGAGUUCUGGAGACCGGCCCCCAGCGUGAGAUGAAGAAGCGGCCCCAAACUCCGACUGAAGAGAGCUCAUGGGCGUUGGCAUUUCGAAGGCUUAUCGGUGCCCUUCUGUCUAAUUGAAUAUCAAGGUACAGUUAGACUUCACCUUCCUCCUUUAUUACUGGGUCUGUAAAUCUUAUAAAAACAACCUUUAAUGGUAGAAAAAUGCCAGGCAAGUGAGUUCUCUCGUCUUAGCUUAGUUUCUGCCGCCGACAUGAAGUAUCUAUUUCAAUCUUCGUAGCCACCUGUGAGAUACGUAGUGUC